AGGACGAACGCUGGCGGCGUGGAUUAGGCAUGCAAGUCGAACGACGGUCAGGAGCUUGCUCUUGAUACGGAGUGGCGAACGGGUGAGUAACACGUGAACAACCUGUCCUUACAUUCGGGAUAAUUCACCGAAAGGUGUUGUAAUACCGGCGAGGAUGAAGUGGGGGCAUCUCUACUUUAAGGAACAGGCAGGGGUAACCCUGUGUGGUGCAAGGAGGGGUUCGCGGUCUAUCAGCUUGUUGGUGAGGUAACGGCUCACCAAGGCGACGACGGAUA
rnacentral:rRNA from 1 species